CUCUGUGCAGCUUUGGCUGUCUUGGAACUUGCUUUGUGCACCAGGCUGACCUUGAACUCAAAGAUUCACCUGCCACUGCCUCCCAAGGGCUGGGAUUCAAGUCAUGCACUAUCACUUUCCAGCAUUUCACAUCAAUUCUUAAUCAAGAAAAUGUCCCAUAGAGCUGCUCACAGGCCAUGUGAUGGAGACAAUUCUUCCAAGGAAGUGACUCUUUCACCAAUUGACUCUGUGCCAAAUUGACCCAAACUAACUAGCACAGACCCCAAAUCAGAGUGGUUUAGAAAUAGGCACAUGUUUCUCUCACAUAACAGUGCAGACAUGAGCAGAGCAGGGCUAGAAGGAGUCUCAGCUAGAAACCCUGCCUGCUUGUGUCUUAGAGCUCAGCCGUCCCAGUAACAUGGAUCUCAUUCACAGCCUAUUGAUGGAUCGCUGAGCUCUAGCAUCGCCUCCAGCCCUGAUCGCCUGCCUCUGCGUUCUGCCUGUCAUGUCUUCAGUCACUGUGCUCUGCUCUGACCCAAUGCAUGCUACGCCCACCACUCAUCUCUAUAUUCACGGGAUGUUUUGACCAUCUUCUCCGCUUCUAGACUCUAACAGGAGGGGCAGGAAACCUCUUAGCUUUGCAGGAACAACUAGAGAAUCACACAGGUUGUUCACAUGAUGUGCUGGUGGCAGAUCAAGCUGUAAGGGAGCCUAGGAAAAACAAUUCUUUUCUCUAGUCGAUAUUUGCCGAGUGAGAGAUGAGAGAUGGGUGGAGACUGACAGCAACCCCAGCCUUGCUUUGCUUCAGUGUGCUAAGCCAGUGAACUCUAGAAUGCCCCUGAGGAAAAUCAACAUAACCUUCGGGAGUCUCCUGCCUUCCAUGUCUUGACAGAAUGACUUUAAAAGAUUUUAAAUUUUUAUUAAAAUGAGGGUGUAAGGAGUUACUCAAUGUCACAGACUAAGAGAUGAACAAGGAUUGGGGCUUAUAUACAAGGAUUCUAAUCCCUUUUAAAGAUCCUUUCCUGUAGGGAGCCGUAUUGGAUUUGGGCCUGGCCACUUUUUGACUGCAUGGCUCAAAGUGGCUAGGUGACUCUGGGCUGUUUGGCCACAGAUAUUCACCCCUAAGAUGACUGCCAUAAAGUCUUGGCAAAAGAUUGCUGGACAAAAGCCUCUCCCAUGAAUUUACGGCACAGGAAGAUAACAUUCAAGGGAUGCCUCAGCUCGAGCAGAUGCCAGUUAUCUCCUGAGUCAACACCCGGUGUCUCCACCGCCUGACCUCAUCGUCUACCGCCUGACCUCUUUGCCUCCUGCUAUCACUCCCUAUACCCUCAUCCCUCCAUCCUUCGUGUUUCACAAAGGUCACUCCCCUUACCUGAAAGCCUUAAAAGCUGUAGCAUUCACCCCAAUAAACGAGACCUUGACAACAGAACUUUUGCUUGGUCUCCUUCUUCUCUUUACCCCCAUUUGGCCCACAGGUAGAAAGCCUCUUCGGGACCCUGAAUAACUGGGUCCCCACUGGUGGGGACAAGUGGCGCCUGAACAGGGACCCCGAAGCACGGCCAACUACAGGACGACAGAGACAAGAGAGCUGCAGCAGGAAUUGAGGAAUCUUCAGGCCGGAUUGCUCGUGUGUCGCUGGAGAGGGAGGAUGCUACAGGAGUGUGCCAGCUGCCUGAGUGGCUGGUGAGACUUGCUGAUCCUGGGAGCAUGAAGAUUCAGCUCUCCUGGUUCAGGUCCCUGGAGUCAUUCCUGUGCCCUUGGAGGAAGAUGGAGACUUUUUAAGAUUUACCCUCACCGAGGUAGCCGGGGUGGAAAGUUGUAUUUUGGGAGAACAUAUGCUCCCUCUUCACCAGCUGUUAGAAAUAUACAACCAUACCUUGGUUGUUAACAAACAUCAUGAGUACCUGCUCGCCCCAAACCAUACUUAUCUGGCCUGUUCAUCAGGGCUGACUACCUAUGUAAUAUCUGAGUUCUUGCAGCAGCACGAUUAUUGCGUAUUGGUACAACUACUCCCAAGACUCAGCAUUCAUAAACCAACAACGCUAUCAUUUACUCAGCACUGCAAUUGACCAGGACCUAGCUGAGCGAGGGCUUAGCCAAUUUAAAAGAUUCUGUUGCCUCCCUUUCAGAAGUAGUACUGCAAAAUAGAAGAGGGCUUGAUUUACUCUUCCUACAACAAGGAGGACUUUGUGCAGCCUUAAAAGAGGAAUGCUGUGUUUAUGUAGAUAAGACUGGACUUGUAGAAGACAGUCUAAGAAAAGUGAGAGAUAGCCUGGAAAAACGAAAAAGGGAGAGAGAACAACAGGAGUCCUGGUAUAAAAACUGGUUCUCCACAUCCCCAUGGCUCUCUACCCUGUUGCCUUCAAUUUUGGGACCCCUUGUGGGCCUACUUUUGUUGAUUUCCUUCGGUCCUUGGGCCUUUCAUCGACUUACACACUUUAUUAAAUCACAAAUAGAUUCUGCUUUGCCUAGAAAUUCUGUUUCAGUACAUUAUCAUCGCUUGGAGACCGGAACAACUAAGGAGAACCAGAGAGACAACAAACAAGAUGAGGUGACUACAACAUAUCAGGAGAGGCUCAACUUCCACAAUCUCCUAAAUUAAUGCCAUCUGGCCCCUACUCUUUCGCCCCUGGGCUCAAAUAAGAGGAAUGAGAAGAUGACCCAAUGUAGCCAUCAUCAGUGACAGGCAACUUCCUCUGACCCUUGACCAAUCUAAGUCAUGGAACCUUGGGGGCGACAAGGUGAUCCUAUGACAGAUAAGGCUGGGGUUCGAGAGGUUGAUCCUAAGACAGAGGUGGCUACACCCCAUUUAAACGUACAGGCCGGUCAAAUGCUCCUCUGCCCACUUUCUCCCCCAAUAAACACACACGUAUAGCCCAGAACGGUGUGUUACAGCAUAAGUUCAUUCCUAGCCAUUGGGGUGCAGUCCUAACUGCAAGAGUGGCUCGCCAUGGCCGUUCUGGGCACUCUGUGAGGCAUGUCUGAUCUCUCUCAGACCACUACUUCCACCUAAUGGUCUUUUAUAAAAGAAAAAUGGGGGAGAUUUAGGGAGCCUGGCCGCUUUUUGACUGCAUGGCUCAAAGUGACUAGAUGACUCUGGGCUGUUUGGCCACAGAUAUUCACCCCUAAGAUGACUGCCAUAAAGUCUUGAGAUUGUUGGACAAAAGCCUCUCCCAUGAAUUUACGGCACAGGAAGAUAACAUUCAAGGGAUGCCUCAGCUCGAGCAGAUGCCAGUUACCUCCUGAGUCAACACCCGGUGUCUCCACCGCCUGACCUCAUCGUCUACUGCCUGACCUCUUUGCCUCCUGCUAUCACUACCUAUACCCUCAUCCCUCCAUCCUUCGUGUUUCACAAAGCACUCCCCCUACCUGAAAGCCUUAAAAGCUGUAGCAUUCACCCCAAUAAACGAGACCUUGACAACAGAA